GGGAGGGUUAGAUGUGGGCUAUUACCUCAUGGACUCGAGAGGUUUGUACCCCAGGAGGACUCUCAGCCAGCUGAGAGGGAGUGGCAGCAAAGACAAUCACAGCAUGAGCCAAGAGGACUGGAGUAGAAAGGACAACAAGUUAUCCCAAAUCUUCCCACCCACUGAGCAGGAUUGGUUCUGUGAAAAGCCAGAUGGCCCUUUGUCUGACUUCAGUCUAAGGAUAAGCUCAUUUGGUAUGUGAAAA